GUGCAUCGCGGGGUUCGGACUGCGUUGUGGCAGACGUAAGAUAGGGAACGGACUGGGAAGUCCGGCCGGAGAGAGUGAAAGCCUCGUAUCCGAAAUCCCAAGGCGCCUGGCAGGAUCCAGAGUAGGACGAGACACGAGAAACCUUGUCUGAACGAACGGGGACCAACCCGUAAGGCUAAAUACUUCUUAGUGACCGAUAGCGCCGAGGACUGUGAAGGAAAGGGGAAAAGUACCCCGGGAGGGGAGGGGAAGAUAACCUGAAACCCUGUGUCUUCAAGCUGUGGGACCUCUUUAUCUGGG
rnacentral:rRNA from 1 species